UCAAAAUACGAAAAAUUCAUUCAUUUAAUAUCAGCUCAAUACAAAGAAACAUUUACAUUCGUUACAAAACCCAAAUUCAAUUGCCAUUACAUACAUAAUAAAAUUCAUACAAAAAAAUACUUAUACAAGUUCAUUAAUUUCAGGAAGCCUAUUAUCCAAAACAUAAUACAACUUCAAGCCGAUUUCCAAAACCUUAUGCAAAACAAUCCAAACUUGCUUCAAACUAAAAACAUGUCAAGAACUGCUGCCCAUUCUACUGCUAUCCUAUAUCACAAAAAAACUAGUCCAACACUUUGCAUUAGUUGCUGUCCAAACUGUCCAACCCUUUUACCUGCUGCUACAAACAACCUUCCACUCUGCUGCAAUAGCCUAUAG